UACGAAGGGGGCUAGCGUUGCUCGGAAUGACUGGGCGUAAAGGGCGCGUAGGCGGCUCAUACAGUCAGAUGUGAAAUUCCUGGGCUUAACCUGGGGGCUGCAUUUGAUAAGUGUGGGCUUGAGUGGGGAAGAGGGUCGUGGAAUUCCCAGUGUAGAGGUGAAAUUCGUAGAUAUUGGGAAGAACACCGGUGGCGAAGGCGGCGACCUGGUCCUUGACUGACGCUGAGGCGCGAAAGCGUGGGGAGCAAACAGG
rnacentral:rRNA from 1 species